CCUACGGGGGGCUGCAGUGGGGAAUAUUGGACAAUGGGGGGAACCCUGAUCCAGCCAUGCCGCGUGUGUGAAGAAGGCCCUCGGGUUGUAAAGCACUUUCAGUGAGGAAGAACGCCUGGUGGUUAAUACCCAUCAGGAAAGACAUCACUCACAGAAGAAGCACCGGCUAACUCCGUGCCAGCAGCCGCGGUAAUACGGAGGGUGCGAGCGUUAAUCGGAAUUACUGGGCGUAAAGCGCGCGUAGGUGGCUUGAUAAGCCGGUUGUGAAAGCCCCGGGCUCAACCUGGGAACGGCAUCCGGAACUGUCAAGCUAGAGUGCAGGAGAGGAAGGUAGAAUUCCCGGUGUAGCGGUGAAAUGCAUAGAGAUCGGGAGGAAUACCAGUGGCGAAGGCGGCCUUCUGGACUGACACUGACACUGAGGUGCGAAAGCGUGGGUAGCAAACAGGAUUAGAUACCCUGGUAGUC
rnacentral:rRNA from 1 species